GGAUGAGCUAAGGUGCCCAAUUGUGUCAGCUCCAUCGCUAAAUCUCCAUCUCUCGUCAAGGCUCUGAAGUGCCAGAAAAUGGCUCACGUACUGGCAAUGCCCGUGGCUUCUUCACUCUCUGUAAUCUGCAAUGGAAGAAGCCCUAGCCCCCUCUUGAACUCUGUUGGUUUCUCCACCGCCAGCCCUCCUAAGGUUCGUGGAAUAAGCAUCAAAUGCGUGCGUGUGGGAGGUGUGGAGAUUCCCAACAACAAGCGUGUGGAGUAUUCUCUACAGUACAUCCAUGGAAUUGGGCGCAGCAGAUCACGCCAAGUACUCUGCGACCUCGGUAUGCAGAACAAAAUCACCAAGGACUUGUCCGAAGAAGAACUCAUUUCCCUUAGGGAUGAAGUCUCCAAAUACAUGAUCGAAGGGGACCUUCGGCGGUUCAAUGCCAUGGCUAUAAGGAGACUGAAGGAGAUACAGUGCUAUAGAGGUAUUCGCCAUAUAAAAGGGUUGCCAUGUAGAGGACAGCGCACAAAGAACAAUUGCCGGACCUUGAAGGGUAAAAGGGUUGCUAUCGCGGGAAAGAAGAAGGCCGCUCGAUAAAUAAGGAUAUAGGCGCUGAUGUGGCAAAGUAAGUUGGAAGAAGCCUUGAUUUGGGUUUGGAGAAGUUCUUGUAAUAGUUAACAUGGCUGCUUAAAAGAUGGCAUGGGGAGCAGGGAACUAGAAGGUUGAUGAAGUUUGGGAAGGAAUGAAGGAUUUCAUGUGCUGGAUUUUGAGGAUGUUUAUUUUUUUAAAAAGGGCAAGAGUGGAUGUCUCACUGCUAUCAAAUGCUUGGUUUCAGAUAGAUACACUCACGGAGCUAGCGAUACCUGUGGAUAGUGAGGGUUUACUCUGUGAGCCAGUGGGGACCGUGGAUGGUGAGAGUUCUCUGUGAGCCAACGGGAAUCGUAGAUGAUAAUGGAGAUGUGUCUCGAGAGUCGGGUUGGUCAAAUGUCCAACUGAUGCACAGAAGCCGCUUCUGCAUCCGAACUUUACCCUGAUCAGCGAGGGCGGAGGACACUGAUUUGUAGAUUUGGUGCCGCACCAAAAGGUCCAAAGGGCUUGUUGGUAGCUGGAGUUCCUAUGUAAAUAAAAAAAAAAAGUUAGCUUUAAUAUUGUAGGCGCAAUGUAUAAUUUAAAUGAUAAUAGUAAUAAUAAUAAGAUCUUUAGUCCUUUUGUCAUUUAUCAAAA